CUUCAACGACCCCAGCCACAACGGCUCGGCACGCUCCUGCCCAUACGUGGCCAGCAACGCCUGCGCCUC
rnacentral:antisense_RNA from 1 species